rnacentral:misc_RNA from 1 species
GUGAAUCAUCAAAUUUUUGAACGCAAAUUGCACUCCCUGGUAUUCCGGGGAGGAAGCCUGUUUGAGGGGCGAUAGAAUAAAAAAUCGAGGCGUCGCCCUUUUUUUAAUGGUGAUCGCGUCGGAAUUGAUCUGUUUUUCAAAGGUUAAUUCAUGUCAAAGUGGCUUUAAAUUCAUCCAUCCGGUACUAUUAAAGCGUACUUAAGAGU